rnacentral:rRNA from 1 species
UUUCGACGGUAGGGUAUUGGCCUACCGUGGCAGUGACGGGUAACGGGGAAUUAGGGUUCGAUUCCGGAGAGGGAGCCUGAGAAACGGCUACCACAUCUAAGGAAGGCAGCAGGCGCGCAAAUUACCCAAUGAAAACAGUUUCGAGGUAGUGACGAGAAAUAACAAUACAGGGCAUUAUAUGCUUUGUAAUUGGAAUGAUGGGAAUGUAAAACCCUCUCAGAGUAACAAUUGGAGGGCAAGUCUGGUGCCAGCAGCCGCGGUAAUUCCAGCUCCAAUAGUGUAUAUUAGAGUUGUUGCAGUUAAAAAGCUCGUAGUUGGAUUUCUGUCGUGAUUAUCUGGUACCGCCUGUAUAGGUGUGCAACCUGGAUGGAUCAUGGCAUACUUCUGGUAGCUUAAUGGUGCUUAAUUGCGUUAUUGAGUGUCCCGGAACUUUUACUUUGAGAAAAAUAGAGUGUUUCAAGCAGGCUUGUCGCCCUGAAUACUGCAGCAUGGAAUAAUAAGAUAGGACCUUGGUUCUAUUUUGUUGGCUUCUAGGACUAAGGUAAUGGUUAAUAGGGACAGUUGGGGGCAUUCGUAUUUAACUGUCAGAGGU